rnacentral:rRNA from 1 species
CGACCGGCGCACGGGUGAGUAACACGUAUGCAACCUGGCCGCCACAGGGGGAUAACCCGCGGAAACGCGGCCUAAUACCCCGUGACGCCACCGGAGGGCAUCCUCCGGUGGCCAAAGGAGCGAUCCGGUGGCGGAUGGGCAUGCGGCGCAUUAGCUAGACGGCGGGGUNACGGCCCACCGUGGCGACGAUGCGUAGGGGUUCUGAGAGGAAGGCCCCCCANACUGGGACUGAGACACGGCCCAGACUCCUACGGGAGGCAGCAG